rnacentral:rRNA from 1 species
UCUUGUAGUUAAAAAUCACAAUAAAUCAUCUGAUCUCAGAAGCUAAAGGUAGGGCCUGGUUAGUACUUGGAUGGGAGACCACCUAGGAAGACCAGGUGCUGUAGGCG